AUGGCAAGGUCUCCUCCUUCAGGUACCUGGUCUUCAGCCUCAAAAGUCAAAAUGUUGUCUCCCAAGGGUCCAUGGGGAAGGAACUCUGGGCCAGAACUGAAGCCAGGCACCACAGGGAGUACCAUGGUGGACCAUUCAGGCCCAUUGGAUACAUCUGGUCUUCUCACAUAGUCUCCGAACAAAGAAAAGGCACCAAAAAGCCCACUUCUGCAUUCCUGGUGAUGACUGCAGCUUCUUCCUCUGUCGUGACCAGCAGCCCAAAUCCCCGCCUAAGUGCUCAGCUUCUGACCAUAAGUGGGCACAAACCCAGCUCGUGGUACACACGUCAUCACUCCUCAUCUACAACCUAUAAAGUCUCCCUGCUUAGGUUUGGGGUAGAGGGCGGGGGUGAGGCUUCUUCCAGCCUCCAUCUCUGGGACUGGAGAACUCACCUGGGAGUUACUCUGCUCAAAUAAACCUGUUGUCAUGCUUUUUCAA